CUACGGGCCGCUCCAGUGGGGAAUAUUGCACAAUGGGGGAAACCCUGAUGCAGCAACGCCGCGUGGAGGAUGACGCAUUUCGGUGUGUAAACUCCUUUUAUAUAGGAAGAUAAUGACGGUACUAUAUGAAUAAGCACCGGCUAACUCCGUGCCAGCAGCCGCGGUAAUACGGAGGGUGCAAGCGUUACUCGGAAUCACUGGGCGUAAAGCGCGCGCAGGCGGCCCCUUAAGUUGGAUGUGAAAGCCUACGGCUUAACCGUAGAACUGCAUCCAGAACUGAGGGGCUAGAGUCUGGGAGGGGAAGAUGGAAUUAGUUGUGUAGGGGUAAAAUCCGUAGAGAUAACUAGGAAUACCAAAAGCGAAGGCGAUCUUCUGGAACAGUACUGACGCUGAGGCGCGAAAGCGUGGGGAGCAAACAGGAUUAGAUACCCGAGUAGUC
rnacentral:rRNA from 1 species